AUUGAACGCUGGCGGCAGGCCUAACACAUGCAAGUCGAGCGAGCGGCGGACGGGUGAGUAAUGUCUGGGAAACUGCCUGAUGGAGGGGGAUAACUACUGGAAACGGUAGCUAAUACCGCAUACCAUCAGAUGUGCCCAGGUGGGAUUAGCUAGUAGGUGGGGUAACGGCUCACCUGGGCGACGAUCCCUAGCUGGUCUGAGAGGAUGACCAGCAAAACGGGAACUGAUACACGGCCCAGCGUCCUACGGGAGGCAGCAGUGGGGAAUAUUGCACAAGGGGCGAAAGCCGGAUGCAGCCAUGCCGCGUGUGUGAAGAAGGCCUUCGGGUUGUAAAGCACUUUCAGCGGGGAGGCGUUACCCGCAGAAGAAGCAACGGCUAACUCCGUGCCAGCAGCCGCGGUAAUAC
rnacentral:rRNA from 1 species